UCUUCUUGCCUGCGCGAGCAGAUCGGAGCGUCUCAGUUACCGGUAGAUUCUCGCGCCGAGAAAUGCUUCGCGCAGCUCCUCCGACGCUCCAGAGGUCCAGGCGAUGCACUUAUGUUCUACAAGUAGAUGAAGCGGUUGACAUUUUCAAGGAUCACUACCAGGAAGGAAUUGGAAGUCAAUGCUUGAAGCUAUCCAUGACCGAUGAUGCUCAACGAGUUUUUGGCAUUGAGUAUCGUCCUACUCCACAGCUCAAAGUAUUACAAGUCUUUGCACAUUCGGAGGGGGAUGUUUCUUCUCGUCCCGGAAAUUGUUACUGUUCUUGGAGGAGCUUGACGAGGCUCGACAGAGAGUGGUACAUCAAGUAAACAAACCUCCUCGGGGAAACAGGUAAAGUUUUCUUCUUCGUGUACUAGUUAAGGAUAUUUGCAGGCACCCGCGUGGUACUACUCCACCAUCGUUGGAAGAGCAACUUACACAAGCUGCCUGGCCCCGAACUCCUGACGUCCAAGAAAACAAUGGCCCUGCAGCCAAUCCUGGAAGUGAGCAGCAACCUUCUUCGACUGUUCGUGAUCAUCCAUAUACAGGAAGGCAAGCACCUGUUUCUAUAGAAGAUUUUUCUCGCGGUUCAUAUUCCUACAGUGAACAAACACCAAGUAAACACAAAGACAGCAUCGGACCUCGUCUGGCACACCUUCGGAGACUUCUGUCGGCCUGGGAAAUUCGCGUAUUCAUAUGCUUUCCCUCCAAUCCAAUCAAGAAACCAGGACUAGAAGACAACUUUGCAUUCUACAGAGGUGGUUUCUGGAGUCCGGUGUAGUUCAAUCAGGCCGAGUUAAGGUAAUAAAAGAAAAGAAAAAACUGGAUACUUAAGCCGUGAAAGAGUUCCUUUUCAAGGAUCACGAUGCAUACCAGCUGGCGAUAUACAUCGAAGAUGGAAGCCUUUUAAUGGAAGCUCUAGUGAACCACGAGGUAAAGCUUUAAUUCUGUUUAAUCAAGACUUGGUUGAGAGGAUGAUCGGACACUCCCCGUUGGAUGUAAGUGCCGCUAUAGAACGUCAAGCUUUUCUCAAGAGAUACCAGCACAGGGUUGUGGCCGUGAACGACUAUCCGGAAAUGGAUGGAGGCUUCUUGCCCGAGUUGAAGCUCUUCAAAUUUGCCGCCAGGAUCAUCAGCGAUCCCUUCCAUUGUAUUGAAUUUGACUGUUCCCAUCAAGAGAAUAGAAAGGAAAAUUCAUAACUUGCAAAGACA